rnacentral:rRNA from 1 species
UACGUAGGGUGCAAGCGUUGUCCGGAAUUAUUGGGCGUAAAGAGCUCGUAGGCGGUCUGUUGCGUCGGCUGUGAAAACCCGGGGCUCAACUCCGGGCCUGCAGCCGAUACGGGCAGGCUAGAGUUCGGUAGGGGAGACUGGAAUUCCUGGUGUAGCGGUGAAAUGCGCAGAUAUCAGGAGGAACACCGGUGGCGAAAGGCGGACUCC